GAUGAACGCUGGCGGCGUGCCUAAUACAUGCAAGUCGAGCGAACAGACGAUGAGCUUGCUCCUCUGACGUUAGCGGCGGACGGGUGAGUAACACGUGGAUAACCUACCUAUAAUACUGGGAUAACUUCGGGAAACCGGAGCUAAUACCGGAUAAUAUAUUGAACCGCAUGGUUCAAUAGUUAAAGACGGUUUUGCUGUCACUUAUAGAUGUAUCCGCGCCGCAUUAGCUAGUUGGUAAGGUAACGGCUUACCAAGGCGACGAUGCGUAGCCGAACUGAGAGGGUGAUCGGCCACAAUGGAACUGAGACACGGUCCAGACUCCUACGGGAGGCAGCAGUAGGGAAUAUUCCGAAAUGGGCGAAAGCCUGACGGAGCAACGCCGCGUGAGUGAUGAAGGUCUUCGGAUCGUAAAACUCUGUUAUUAGGGAAGAACAAAUGUGUAAGUAACUAUGCACGUCUUGACGGUACCUAAUCAGAAAGCCACGGCUAACUACGUG
rnacentral:rRNA from 1 species